rnacentral:rRNA from 1 species
AACGGAUUAUUCUUUAUAGCUUGCUAUAAGGAAUAAUUAGUGGCAGACGGGUGAGUAAUGCAUAGGAAUCUACCUAGUAGUAUGGGAUAGCCACUAGAAAUGGUGGGUAAUACUGUAUAAUCCCUGCGGGGGAAAGAUUUAUCGCUAUUAGAUGAGCCUAUGUUAGAUUAGCUAGUUGGUAGGGUAAAGGCCUACCAAGGCGAUGAUCUAUAGCUGGUCUGAGAGGAUGAUCAGCCACACUGGAACUGAGAUACGGUCCAGACUCCUACGGGAGGCAGCAGUGGGGAAUAUUGGACAAUGGGCGCAAGCCUGAUCCAGCUAUGCCGCGUGAGUGAGGAAGGCCUUAGGGUUGUAAAACUCUUUCAGUAGGGAAGAUAAUGACGGUACCUACAGAAGAAGUCCCGGCAAACUCCGUGCCAGCAGCCGCGGUAAUACGGAGGGGGCAAGCGUUGUUCGGAAUUAUUGGGCGUAAAGGGCAUGUAGGCGGUUCGGUAA